AAUCAGAGCUCCUCUCUCUCGCUCGCUUCCCGAUCCCAGCCGCCAGGAGACACCCCACACCGCGCGGCGCUCGAUCCGGUGCCGCGCCGAUCUGUCGGCGGGUGCGGCGUUUUGCUCCGGUUGCGACGUCGUCUUACUGAUCCAGAGAAAAAGAGACAGGGCGUGAGGGAGAGUGAGGGAGAAAGGAAAUAGAGGAAGAAAGGAGAAGGAAGAAGGGGCACAAGGUGAGGGAGGCGGUCGCCGGCGGUGGCGGCUCCGAUGACCGUCCGGCGGGCAGGCGGAUGAGCUCUUGUUGACGCGGCGGCCUCCGGAUCCAUCGAGCACGCCUCCCGGCGACAGGCGCGAUGGGGCGCCGGUGGACGCCCUGAUUGUGCGCAACCCCGACGCGGUGACUCACCUCCCGUCUCCACUCCCCCGAGGCGCUACUCGCCGACAACCGCCUCCCGGCCCAACGCCGCCGCGACAUCGAUGACUGCCCGCGCGUCUCCUUCACCUACAAGCUUCGACAACGGCAGAUUAGCAGCCCCUGCGGCCGCGAUGACCCUGGAUCUACGGCAACGGCGGCGCCAGCAGCCCGGCCCGGUGCAGGUCGCAGCUAACCCUAGCUGCGCUGGGAGCUCUCCAUCCGCUCGCCUUCCCCUCCGUCUCCGGUGGACAGACGCCUCUUCUUUUGCUCCGCCCUAGCUAUGGUAUAAGCUCCUCAAAACUCUGCCUUCUCUCAUGCGCUCGUAUGCCCACGGCCAUCGACCCGUGGCCAAUCAAUCUUACGCUGGCCAUCGCGCCAUGGCAAGUUCUAGGCAUUUUGGCUUGUGCGGGUGCCCUGUCAUCCAAAGAUCUGUGCUUGUUGUGUCAUGUACGUAUAAUACAGUAGUAAUAAGUGUCACCGUUUAGUGGAUUUAGCCCUCAAUCUCAACAUCAUCGUUUGAUUCACAUGGUUCUUAUACAUGUGCGCAACUUCUGUGCAAGUCAUCCAAGAUGUAUCUUUGCUUCUCUUAAUUUUGUCAGUUACUUUGAUCUCGAUGAGCUGACUGACUGCUCUGUCGGAUGGGUUUAGAUCACUUGUCCGUUUCCAGCAGGACUCACUCUGCUUCUGUGGUAAUCAAAACAUCCAUAUAUAAGUGAUUAUUCACCUAACCCAAUGUUGCUGAUGGCAAUUUUGAUUUGAAGUUAGCAAUGCAAUCAACAGCCAGUUAUUUAUAUUCAGAAAACAAGAAAUGUCAAGCUUGCAAGCAAAGCAAAGUGCCAUUAGCUCUUCACAGUCAUGAUUGCCCAAUUCUGACCUCUGUCAUUUCAAAUAACUGCAUCUGUGGUCCUGACAUAUCAAGUAAGGUGUUUCAUGUUGUCUAUUCCACCAGUUCCUUCAUUUUGAGAUAGUGCCUAAAAGGGUUGGCCUUAUUGUCUUUAUUUUAUAAUAACUGGCUCAACUAUUUAUGUAUUUGCUCUGUUUGGCUUGCACUUUUAUUGCAUAAUCUUCUCUGACUUUACUACUUAAUGUAUCUUCGUGUGCAUGCAGGUAGACUGGGAUAAAUCUGUGCCCCACCGAUCUUGUUGGGUACCCUCCUAUUAUGAAGAAGCCUAGAAUUUCUAACACAAUUGCACUCUGUGAUCCGGAGAUGCUGGCAUGUCAAGAUUUUGCUGGGACCACAUUGCGUUCUCUUCUGCCGGCAGAUUAAAUGAUGAAGGCGCUGACGCCUUUCCCCAAUGUCUCGACAAAGUCCGGAAAAAUGGUGGGACACCAUCUAAUGAGGAGCGGCAUGUUAUACCAGGUUUAGAAGCAUCAGGUUCAGAAGGCAGGGGCGCAGAUAACAUCAAUUGACAAGCGUGUUAAAUCAUGGUCUUAUCAACAUGAUGGGUGUCGAGCUCGCGGUGUUGCCAUGCCGGGCGGAGUGGAGGCUGCCGCUUGCAUAGCUGCUUCAUCCGAAGGAUCGCCAUGAGGAUGAUGCCAUCGUCUGGCUGGGCGAGGCGAGGCUGCGAAGGCGGAGGUUGCCGCUCCUGCAGCUGCUUGGCCCUCUCUUCCUUGGCAUCGAGUUCUUCUUCGACCUUGGCCGCACGCCGAGAGAGGAAAGAAGGACACGAUGGAUGUCAACAUGAAGAGGGCAGAGGACGUGCUGAUGCACAAGCGGCUCCUGGAGCUGGCCAAGGAUUCGGUGCAGCGCCAGGCUUUCGCCGUGGGGGCCGUGCAAGUGAGUUGUUUGUCCCUCCUCGCGACACUCGCAAUAAUUUACGAAUGCAAUUCGGCGCUACACUGAUGGAGUCAAAAUUCGGCUGUCUGCAAUUUUAUUAUCUGGUCUGAAUCUGUGAUGAUCGUCCCUGGUUGGCCUCGUUGGGUUGGGGGUUAAGUUUUCUGCAGUUGGGAUUUCCUUUUUAUAAUCGUCUCCAUCCCAUCAGGCAUCAACACUGAAUCUUAGUCAAUGACACUCUUUCUCGGUGGUAACAUGUCUUUCCAUCAUCCAGAAAAAUGGGGGCAUUAUAGUUCUAUUAAACUGGAUUGGUAUUACGUGUAGGAAUUGGUUCAUUUGGACUUAGUAUUACCACUUGCAUAUUUUACGUAGCCAUCUAAUUUUGUGAGUUUUGCUGGUCCGGUAAAGACAAAAUAUCGGUAUAUUUUGGUCCCUAUAGAUACUUUGCUAUUUGAGGACUAAGCAUUGAACCUGUUUUAGUUUCCAGUCCAUGACAUGUAGAUUAGUUAUUUGUUGAGUUACUAGAAACUGUUUAGUCUUUCGGUUUAUUCUCAGUUAUGUUGUCAUGGCUGCGAACGUGAAUUAACAGAGCAAACCUUAAUGAUCAGAUCAAGAGCCACUUCAUUCAUGAGGCUGCUGAGCAGAGGUACUACUGUGUGUCUAUGUACUUGUGGCGCAGUUGCUAAAAAAAUUGCAAGGAUACUAAACACUGCUCCUGAUCUACGAAAGACAACUAGCUUUUCUGCCUAAUCCAUCAGACUAAAGGUUUUACUUCUGUAAAAGUCUGCGCGUUAGUAGUACUUCUACUUCUGUAGUACUCUACAUAGUUAUUUCAUACAAAACCGUCAUAACUUAAUUAAUUGUGACCUAUUGAUAAAGGUGGUGCAACCGGUGAGCAGAUUAUAUAGGUACACGAGCAGAUAAUCUGAAAAAAUAUUUUAAGCUACUAUUUCCUACAUAUUGGAAAUUUGGAAUAUGUCUCCAUCCAUACACCAAAAAAGAAGUUUCCAUGAUACGGUAGCUUUAUCUAUUUUUCCUCCUAUUUAUUCUUUCAGUUUGAAUUGGUGUUCAUUCACCAUCAUUUUUUUAUGCAAAAUCUUUGGUGUGAGCCUAUCAACCGAUAGUACGGCAGCAUUAUCGUAUGUGGAAUGAUAAUGCACCAUAAAGUUCAUUGGAUGCAGACCGGUAGGGUCAAUUACAAACUCUUUGAUGUAAAUGACUUUCAGUUUCUAGCUUUCAUAAAAUUUAGAUAUGUACUGUUUAACAGUGUGUUGUGGUUGAUGGUGGUCCUAAGAACUGAUUGAAUUAUCAUGUUGGAUAGUAUUGCUUUUACUAGCAGUUGCAGUGCUCUUAUUAUUAUAUUUCCACAAAUACCAUCACGUUUUGCUAUUGACGUAAUGUUAUGUUCCUUGACUGAAAUCAAACCCUUUAGUUGCUGUUAUGGUGCUCUUGUUAUUGUUAUAUUCCUUGACAGAAAGCAAACGUUGUUCAUGGCUAACUUAUAGAAUAGCAUAUACAAAGUUCAAAACCAUCAAUUUCAGGAACACUCUGGCCAUGUAUUUGAUUCUGUUGAAGACCCAAUAUAUGAUGAGGUGCUGCAUCUCCUGAUGUUGAGCUAUAUGGACUAUAUGAGCAGAACCACCAUGACAAACAUGCGGGUCAAUAGAAUUCAGAAAGUUAUAGUUUAUUUGCUCUAUACAAUAAUGGCUUCAGUUUCAAUGGAAAUCAUUAACUGGACUCCCAUGUAUUAUUCUGCAAAAAGUAGUAUUGUAGCCUUUUAAUGUUUUCAUUCACAUGCAUGGUCAUAUAUGCUGCUUGGACGAAACAAUUUAUCAACUCCAACUGCAGCUGGUAGGCAUCGUGAUGGACAGGGCGAUCACAGCGGACGGGGCACCAAUGGCGGCUGCUUGCCCCCACCCCAUUGGGAGCCCUCCAUGACGGCGCACGGGAGGAAGCGAUAGGCCCAUGUCGACGAAGGAGGUAGGCAUGAUGUGGGCGACGGUGGCGCAGAGCACUUCAACAAGGGAGACCUGAAAAUGAGGAACGAUAAGGAAGAUUUUUUUAGAGAUCUCGCCUGCUUUAUUGAUUCUCAACAAUGUUCACUGGCACAAGGUUAAUCAUGGGGCAUGCCUAGCCAAAUAUGUCUCCCUACACCUAGAUUACAACCAAAUUUGGCGAGAUUGUGAGCUAAAGAACGAUAAGGAAGAUGAGUUAGUGCGUCAUUCUGUCUACGUCAAAGUGUUUUAUCCUUCUGUCUAUGUCAAACUGCUUUGUUUGGGUCAAGUCCAAAUAGUUAAAGAAAGAAUAAACUCUUCCCAACCAAACAA